UAAUCUGAUAGGUUAGGAUAUUUUAUUUUAUUUUAUUUUAUUUUUAAUUAAAAUUCAGCUUCUAAAAAUUCUCCUUGAUUUUUGUCAUUCCUUUUCACUUUCCCCAUCUUCCCACUUUCUCCACUUUUUCCUUCACAUUAGUUUUCUUUCUGGGAUUUUCUUAUUUUUUGCGUGUUUGUCCCUUUUGAUUCUUCUGUUGCCGCUCCUUUUGUUUCUACUCUGUUACUAUUUUGGAUAAGUGUCAUUAUUUCUGCUUGUUCAAUUCUAGCCAAGUGAAAUUUUGGUGUUUCAGUGCCGUGGUUACAUCACUUUACGAAGUUCGGGAGGCUAUUGUUUCUCUGGCAAUUUGAGGAUCUAAGAACUGUUUAUUCUUUAGGUAACCCGUGGACUUAGGAUUAAACAACGUACAGGAGUUCGGAUAUGUUUUCUCGCAUAAGAUUAUUUUUAAAUAAUUAUUAAUUUAUGAAAUUUUGAACAGUUGGACUAAUUUUCAGAUUUUUA